ACACCAGAUAUAACCUGGUGAUCUUUCUUGUUCCAAAGUUUAUUUUGGUUGCUUGUUUAUAUAUUUUCUUGCACCUGUAUCAGCUUUAUGUGGUAUCAAGAUUAAUUACUAUAUUGCUGCUAUGUUUCUCUUUAUCAUCUUAUUGCAGCUUGGCUUCUGGCAAUUGCUAUGAUGUAUGAUGGUGUAUCUUUGUUAAUCCUUUUUCCGGUAUUGAAUACACUUGGAGCAUGAAUUACCUUCUGAACCUUCUAUCACUUGAGUUUCUUUAUAACAUUUCAUUGCUGGUAGCAUUUGGUGCAGAAAAACUAACAAUUCUGUUUGGUCUACAGGCUAUGGUUAAAAAGGGCCCAUCUUCCCCUCCUUUGUUUGUUCCUGCGUCCCCUCCUCCCUUACUCUGGUGACUAUUGGUUGAUACAAUAUCAGCUCUACCGAUGUCCUUGAUAUUCUUUCAGCUCAUUGAUGAACUGUGGAGAUUCUUGCUUCGACAGCUGUGGUCACAUGCUUCAAUCUCGGUUCGUUAGGAAGUGAAGGGCCACAUUUUGGUAUGUUUGUGCAUUUCAUAUUAGCUGGUAGUUGCCUCGUGCUAAUGAGUUUGGAUAUCUUAAUACUUUGAUCAUAAUAGGAAGAGGCUACAUGCAUGGUUAAAUCUGAAAUAGAUGCAUGAUGGAUGCAGUCUAUGCUACUUUGGCAAUUGAUCCUCAUCUUGAGACUAUGUAGAAAGAGGUGAAGCAGCUCAUUGGUAUUGAUAAUUCAAGGGGUGGGGUCAUAUCAAUGGUCUCAUUGCCCUAGUGGGACGAGGUGCCCUACGAGAUGAUGAAGAUUGUAUCAGUUGUUGGAGGGGGAUUGUGCAAGACUACUCUUGCCAAGUAGUGUAUGAUGAGCUUAAACCUCAACUCGAUUGUGGGGCCUCUGUUUUGGUUGGCCGAAAUCCUGGUUUGAA